rnacentral:rRNA from 1 species
UGACGAUUUGUGACUGAGUCGGCGGACGGGUGAGUAACGCGUGGGUAAACCUGCCUCAUACAGAGGGAUAACAGUUGGAAACGGCUAGCCGUAAUACCUCAUAAGCGCACAGUACCGCAUGGUACAGUGUGAAAAACUCCGGUGGUAUGAGAUGGACCCGCGUCUGAUUAGCUAGUUGAGGGUAACGGCCCACCAAGGCAACGAUCAGUAGCCGACUUGAGAGAGUGAUCGGCCACAUUGGGACUGAGACACGGCCCAAACUCCUACGGGAGGCAGCAGUGGGGAAUAUUGCACAAUGGGGGAAACCCUGAUGCAGCGACGCCGCGUGAAGGAUUGAAGUAUUUCGGUAUGUAAACUUCUAUCAGCAAGGAAGAAAUGACGGUACUUGACUAAGAAGCCCCGGCUAAAUACGUGCCAGCAGCGGC